GCAGGAAUUACUUGGAUUCAUUCUAGGCUGUUUUCUUCUGGGGUUUGAGCUCCAUGAACCCAAUAGCAGAAGUCCCUCUUGAUCAGGAAUUAAUUUGGCCCAUAAAUUAAACUCUGGGAAAUAAGGAUUUCCAUCUGUGAAUGAACUAAUGACACCUACUUACAGGCAGCAUUGUGAAGUUUAAUUAAUUGACAUUAUUGAAGAAUCCUGAGGUUGAAGUCCUGAUGCGUUGGAGAGUCACCCCUAAUUUGUGAAAACAUAUGGCUUAUUCCACCCUUCCACACUGAGGAUUCGUUCGAAGCAUGCUUGCCUGCAGUCCUGUGCUCACCAUCUGGAUCAGCCUUCCGCAAGUCAAGGGCUGGCUUUCGGGUCCUCCUGGUUUUGAGAACACCGAACAUAUAUGAAGUAAUGUAUUACUUGAUUCAAAGUUGUGAAGGGUAUAAAAAUAUUCUGCACUGGCAAUGCUUCUGAACAGCUUUCACAAUUUCCUCUCCUCACCACCCCCACAUAUACUUCGGUGCGUUUCUGCAGUGAUACUGUGCAGGGCCCUGCGUUGGCUGCAGUCAGCUGUGUCCUCCAUCACCCAGCUACUCCUUCACACCGCUGUGUCCCCCAGGGAAUCACCCAUCGCAGUCUGAGCUACAGGGUGAGAGAGAGGCAAGUGCAAUUAUUUGGUGCCUGGGGACAGUGAGAUCUUUUACUGCUCUGGGGCUGCUUCAUAGUACAUGAGCAUGAUUUCAGCCUGGUAUCCCAGACUGAAUUUAUUUAAGGGUGUAUAUAUUAAGAUUAUGCCUGUCCUGAUCUACCCUCUUUAUUUCCUUCUCUCUUAAUCAUAGUGUUCAAAAUAAUUAAAACAGAUUAAAAUGCAAACCAGCACCAUAAUCAAGCAGAAUGUAAUAGCUGGUUAUCAUGAAAUAACAUCGAAAUAAAAGAUAAAUAAUUUAUGACUAAGUCCCUCAUCAACUUUAGAUGGCCAUAAACCAACACUAACUAGCUACCUCCCAAACCUCGAUAUCAUGUGUAGCCACGUUACCUGAGCCUGGCUCUUGUCUCUAGGCCCUGAUGAUGUUUCAAAUUUAAAGAUGGUCCAUAUGCUUUUCUUAGACAAUCUUAUAGCCUAUAAUUUUUAUGCAUGUAGUUUCAAAUUUUAAAUUAACUGCAUUUAUAUGGGACUGAAGAUUUAUAGAUAUGCUGAAAAUGUUCAGUAUUUUACAAAUACAAGUUUUUAUUAAUGAACCUUCACAGGCCACAUGUGUGUCUGGCUAAUCGUACAUUUGGUUUACAGAGAGAUCUAUCAGGGGACAAGAAGGAACAAGAGCUCAUGCAAGGUAGGAAGGAAACCUGUGGUUACCAAACUAGCAGAUUCUGUAUUAUUGGUAUCUCUGAAAGGCUUUGACACCAGUGUUUUCAGUACUUGCAGAAUACCUGCAAGAGAGGUAGGUCAGAGCAAGUUAAAGGUCUUGUAUUUUUUUUUUUUACUUUCAAGUUUAACCAAGCUAUAAAUAAGCAUCUGUACCUCAAACAUAAAAAUGAGACUGAAUACUUUUGAUGAGCCUAAUGAAUAUUGUCUCUAAAAUGGGAUGUGACUGUUCAUAGAUGUAAAUGCAAUGGGUUGAAUAGCCUGAAAAUACUUCAGGAAUGCUUGAGGAGCUUCUUUCUGUUCAUAUUACCAUUUUUUUUUUUGCCAUAUGGAUGGGUAUAAAGGGAGAUUGAUUGGAGGAGCUGUUAUUGUAAUGUACCCAUUAAGACAGUUCCUUUGUUUCAGUGUGUAGAUUGCAUUUUCAACAUGAUGUGAAGCUAGUUUAAACAAAAUGAGAUGUAUAGAAGCUUUAUGUUCUCCUUUCUCACCAGCUUCUGCUCAGGCCCAUGUAAUUUUCAGGAAAAGGUUAGUAGCUUGUAGGGAUUAUAGCAUAUUGGAGAAAAAAAAUUAUGUCUUCCCCAAUGUUUUAAAUGGAACCAGAAACAUCUGAUGAAAAUGUCUUUUAGUGAGAAGCGUGAGGAGAUAGUAAUGUGAUUAGUGUACAUGCAUUCAUUUUAGAAAUAUUCUUGAGCUUAAAUGUUCUAUCAGUGUGUAAAGAAUUCAAUUCACUUUAUACUAUGCAAAAUAAAUGUUCUUCAACCUAGAUUUUAAACCUUUUGUUGGGGUUUGCCUGUCAACAGUAUGCCAUGCUGUUGUGGGACACGUGCAGAAAGCCCACACCAGCAUACACAGCUUCAGGGUUGCUUUAGCAGUGAUCUGCAAGGGAUGACUGUGAUGCUCGUCUUCCCUACCCUGAUGACCUUUGUCAGCUGUAAGGAAAGGACAUUCACUUCCUGAAACACAUUUGGUGAAGGAAGGUUUUAUGAAUUGGCUAAGGCAGUCAAGUGGAUUCAGUUUUAAGGGUGAUGUCCUGUACAAAACAAUAUUCUGGACUUCCAGUUAAAAUGGGGGAAGUUGGAUUUAUUUUUUCCCCACACUGGAUAUCUCAUUUGCUUCAAUUUGCAUGCUAUUUAAAUUUUUAAAGUUUAGUGUUUGUGAUCUGUUUGCUUUUCCGCUCCAGCUCAUUUGCAAGCCGAUGAGGAUGUUGCAUUCUAAAUUUGGGAACAGUAUGAUUUUGAUACAAAAAGUAGAUCGAUUGCAAUUCCCAAGAUGAAAGCAUGGUUACUAAUUCUAUUGGAUAUCUCAGAGCAGUUUCUUGCCAGUGAAAGGACUGUAUCUUUUCUGCCACAAUGAAUUCCAUACAUUUUAGUGUGCACAUCUGUAAUUUCUUUUUGCUUUAUUUUUUAAAUUAUACCUCUUCUA